rnacentral:rRNA from 1 species
CUUUUAAAUUGAAGAGUUUGAUCAUGGCUCAGAUUGAACGCUGGCGGCAGGCCUAACACAUGCAAGUCGAACGGUAACAGGAAGCAGCUUGCUGCUUUGCUGACGAGUGGCGGACGGGUGAGUAAUGUCUGGGAAACUGCCUGAUGGAGGGGGAUAACUACUGGAAACGGUGGCUAAUACCGCAUAACGUCGCAAGACCAAAGAGGGGGACCUUCGGGCCUCUUGCCAUCAGAUGUGCCCAGAUGGGAUUAGCUAGUUGGUGAGGUAACGGCUCACCAAGGCGACGAUCCCUAGCUGGUCUGAGAGGAUGACCAGCCACACUGGAACUGAGACACGGUCCAGACUCCUACGGGAGGCAGCAGUGGGGAAUAUUGCACAAUGGGCGCAAGCCUGAUGCAGCCAUGCCGCGUGUAUGAAGAAGGCCUUCGGGUUGUAAAGUACUUUCAGCGGGGAGGAAGGUGUUGUGGUUAAUAACCGCAGCAAUUGACGUUACCCGCAGAAGAAGCACCGGCUAACUCCGUGCCAGCAGCCGCGGUAAUACGGAGGGUGCAAGCGUUAAUCGGAAUUACUGGGCGUAAAGCGCACGCAGGCGGUCUGUCAAGUCGGAUGUGAAAUCCCCGGGCUCAACCUGGGAACUGCAUUCGAAACUGGCAGGCUUGAGUCUUGUAGAGGGGGGUAGAAUUCCAGGUGUAGCGGUGAAAUGCGUAGAGAUCUGGAGGAAUACCGGUGGCGAAGGCGGCCCCCUGGACAAAGACUGACGCUCAGGUGCGAAAGCGUGGGGAGCAAACAGGAUUAGAUACCCUGGUAGUCCACGCCGUAAACGAUGUCUACUUGGAGGUUGUGCCCUUGAGGCGUGGCUUCCGGAGCUAACGCGUUAAGUAGACCGCCUGGGGAGUACGGCCGCAAGGUUAAAACUCAAAUGAAUUGACGGGGGCCCGCACAAGCGGUGGAGCAUGUGGUUUAAUUCGAUGCAACGCGAAGAACCUUACCUGGUCUUGACAUCCACAGAACUUUCCAGAGAUGGAUUGGUGCCUUCGGGAACUGUGAGACAGGUGCUGCAUGGCUGUCGUCAGCUCGUGUUGUGAAAUGUUGGGUUAAGUCCCGCAACGAGCGCAACCCUUAUCCUUUGUUGCCAGCGAUUAGGUCGGGAACUCAAAGGAGACUGCCAGUGAUAAACUGGAGGAAGGUGGGGAUGACGUCAAGUCAUCAUGGCCCUUACGACCAGGGCUACACACGUGCUACAAUGGCGCAUACAAAGAGAAGCGACCUCGCGAGAGCAAGCGGACCUCAUAAAGUGCGUCGUAGUCCGGAUUGGAGUCUGCAACUCGACUCCAUGAAGUCGGAAUCGCUAGUAAUCGUGGAUCAGAAUGCCACGGUGAAUACGUUCCCGGGCCUUGUACACACCGCCCGUCACACCAUGGGAGUGGGUUGCAAAAGAAGUAGGUAGCUUAACCUUCGGGAGGGCGCUUACCACUUUGUGAUUCAUGACUGGGGUGAAGUCGUAACAAGGUAACCGUAGGGGAACCUGCGGUUGGAUCACCUCCUUACCUGAA